rnacentral:rRNA from 1 species
UUUAGGGUGGUUUUAGCGGUGGGGCUCACCUGUUCCCAUUCCGAACACAGAAGUUAAGCCCACCAGCGCCGAUGGUACUACGAAAGUGGGAGAGUAGGUCGCCGCCAGUUU